rnacentral:lncRNA from 1 species
UGUGUCAGAAUGGGGGUAAAGAAAAAGAAAAGAAUUAAUAAUACUAAAUCUAAAGGCGAUCAAAGCUCUCCGGCAACGGCGCCAAAUUUGAUACCACUCAAAUUACCCUAAGGAGUGAAUUACUCUCUCAAAUAAGAGGUUCAAUAGUAGUACUUAGGGAUCGAAUCCACAAGUAGCUAGGGAACCUAUUAAAUCGAGAUGAUUAUUAAUUCUAAGGUUUUGUUGUUUAUUGGUUUAAAAGUAAAUAGCAAUCCUAUAUGAGCAAGUCUAUUGCUCGACUAACAAGAUGAUUGGAGGUGUAACUUAUUCGAAAGAUAUUAGAUUCAGGGUUUCUAUUCAGGCCCUUAACACAGUGAUCAGCAAUGGCAAUGUUUCACUGGUUAACUAACUAGAUCUUGGAUCUCAACUGUCGUUUAUUGACCAUAAGAAAGUGUCGAUCAAUGGUCCUAUAGGGACAUCGAUCGAUACACCUUUCGCAAGAUCGAUCGAUUGUCAGAAGACAGUAUCGAUCGAUGCUUCUAGUUAAGCCAUAGGCGCAAGUUGAUAAUGAACACUAGCUUCCUGGUUCAGCGGUAGCCUUUUUCCUAUCGUCUAGUCUGACAGAUUAGAUUCAGGACUGGAUGGUCAAAGUUGCUUGACUUAUGCAGAUUCCUAGAUUUAAUAUUCUAGGUAGCUAAUCUAGAACAAGCAUUAAGAUCAAUCUAUCAAUAAAUACCACAGUUUAGCAAUCUAUAGUUCGAGCUAAUCCCUCUAACCUAUUUGAACCCUGAAUCUAACAAGUGAACUACUCAGACAUAGCUAAGCAUUUCAGCACACAAAAUGUAAAUGAAAAAUGCAUAGGAUAGAAUAGAUGAAUCAAAUGGAGUUCCAAUCACAAAUCUCUCUAUGAUCUUCUCUCCUAAAACUCUUUACUGAAAAUAAGAAAACACAAAAGGUGGCUGAAAAU